GUGAAUCAUCAAAUUUUUGAACGCAAAUUGCACUCUCUUCGGAGAGGAGGCCUGGGUGAGGGUCAGCCGAAAAAAAAUCGACAUAGUUGCUGUUUCGCGGUGACAGUCGUCGGAAAUUGGGUCAUCCUAAACCUUGGGGUUUUAAGCGGCUUAAAAUGUUCUUUACGAUUCCACGAACGUUUCUAAGAUUUUACUUCUUACACGUUUAAGGUAUCGAUCUUUAUUAGACGUGGCCGUUGCAGCGGAUCACGUCCAGAAAUAUGUCGUUAACUGACCUCAUACAGGUAAGAACACCCGCUGA
rnacentral:misc_RNA from 1 species